rnacentral:rRNA from 1 species
UACGGGGGGGGCAAGCGUUGUCCGGAAUCAUUGGGCGUAAAGCGCGUGUAGGCGGUUCGGUAAGUCCGCUGUGAAAGUCGGGGGCUCAACCCUCGGAUGCCGGUGGAUACUGUCGGACUAGAGUACGGAAGAGGCGAGUGGAAUUCCUGGUGUAGCGGUGAAAUGCGCAGAUAUCAGGAGGAACACCGAUUGCGAAGGCAGCUCGCUGGGACGUUACUGACGCUGAGACGCGAAAGCGUGGGGAGCAAACAGG